UCGGGUUGCCUGUCGGGGCUGGCAUCAGCCCGGCUUGUUGCCGGGAUUCUGCAAGCGGAAUUUCUCUUUGCGUUCGAUCUGUACAACCUGGGC
rnacentral:tRNA from 1 species